rfam:Rattus norvegicus chromosome 11, whole genome shotgun sequence.
GGGGAUUUAGCUCAGUGGUAGAGCGCUUGCCUACCAAGUGCAAGGCCCUGGGUUCGGUCCCCAGCUCCG